GACGAACGCUGGCGGCGUGCUUAACACAUGCAAGUCGAACGGAAAGGCCCUGCUUUUGUGGGGUGCUCGAGUGGCGAACGGGUGAGUAACACGUGAGUAACCUGCCCUUGACUUUGGGAUAACUUCAGGAAACUGGGGCUAAUACCGGAUAGGAGCUCUUGCUGCAUGGUGGGGGUUGGAAAGUUUCGGCGGUUGGGGAUAGACUCGCGGCUUAUCAGCUUGUUGGUGGGGUAGUGGCUUACCAAGGCUUUGACGGGUAGCCGGCCUGAGAGGGUGACCGGCCACAUUGGGACUGAGAUACGGCCCAGACUCCUACGGGAGGCAGCAGUGGGGAAUAUUGCACAAUGGGCGGAAGCCUGAUGCAGCAACGCCGCGUGCGGGAUGACGGCCUUCGGGUUGUAAACCGCUUUCGCCUGUGACGAAGCGUGAGUGACGGUAAUGGGUAAAGAAGCACCGGCUAACUACGUG
rnacentral:rRNA from 1 species